rnacentral:rRNA from 1 species
UGGCGGACGGGGGAGUAAUGUCUGGGAAACUGCCUGAUGGAGGGGGAUAACUACUGGAAACGGUAGCUAAUACCGCAUAACGUCGCAAGACCAAAGAGGGGGACCGUUCGGGCCUCUUGCCAUCGGAUGUGCCCAGAUGGGAUUAGCUAGUAGGUGGGGUAACGGCUCACCUAGGCGACGAUCCCUAGCUGGUCUGAGAGGAUGACCAGCCACACUGGAACUGAGACACGGUCCAG